rnacentral:rRNA from 1 species
UACAGAGGGUGCAAGCGUUAAUCGGAAUUACUGGGCGUAAAGCGUGCGUAGACGGUCAAGUAAGUCGGGUGUGAAAGCCCCGGGCUCAACCUGGGAAUUGCAUUCGAGACUGCGUGGCUAGGGUGCGGAAGAGGGAAGCGGAAUUUCCGGGUGUAGCGGUGAAAUGCGUAGAUAUCGGAAGGAACACCAGUGGCGAAAGCGGCUCACUGGCUCAUAUCUGACGCUCAGGCGCGACAGCGUGGGGAUCAAACAGG